rnacentral:rRNA from 1 species
AGCAGUCGCCGCGGUAAUACGGAGGGAGCUAGCGUUGUUCGGAAUUACUGGGCGUAAAGCGCACGUAAGCGGCUUUGUAAGUUAGAGGUGAAAGCCUGGAGCUCAACUCCAGAAUUGCCUUUAAGACUGCAUCGCUUGAAUCCAGGAGAGGUGAGUGGAAUUCCGAGUGUAGAGGUGAAAUUCGUAGAUAUUCGGAAGAACACCAGUGGCGAAGGCGGCUCACUGGACUGGUAUUGACGCUGAGGUGCGAAAGCGUGGGGAGCAAACAGGAUUAGAUACCCCAGUAGUCCCUGUCUCUUAUAC